CUGCAGCGCCAACUACAACUACUACAGCCCCAACAACUUCAACUGCAGUCCUAACAACAACAACUGCAUUCCCAACAACUACAACUGCAGCCUCAUCCACUCCAACCCCAAUUACUUCAGCCCCAACAACUACAACAGCAGCACCAACAGGCCCAGAGUAUCUGUUGCAUCUAAACAUGAGAUUAAGAUCAUUUGGCGAGGUCAGCAACGGAACCCUAAUUGAGCUCAUUAAACAGGUUUUCAGAGACCAGCUUCUCAAUGGAACAGGACACACGGUGACUGUGAGAAGCAUUCAAAGGUUUAGAGUUAACCCAUAGAACAUAACCGAAUUCAUUAGAUUUUUACAGAUUUACAGCUAAUGCAGACACUAUUGUUUAAGCUACAUUUUACACAAUAGGUCACAUUAGGUGUUAAUGAAAUGUUUAUCUUAAACGUAUUUGAAGUUAUUAGUAUGCUUAUUUUACAUUUUCUAUGUAUUCCGAAAGAAGAGUUCAACAAACCCAAAUUAUCUCAAUGAUAUUUGGGCUGAAUAACUUUGUCCAGGUUGUCAGUUCCAGAAUAGUUCAUAUCUUUAAGUUCACACAGUUCUUUCUGAGUAUCUGAACCUUGUAUCCAUCAUCGAUUAUCGGCUCAAAAGCAUGACAACUGGUGGAAGAAAAAUUAUGAUGCUGGGGCUUGAAAGGUCUAGAGGUCCAAAUCCAUUACGACUGCGUUGAGGAGCCUCUCAUGGGGUGCCUGCUCAGCCACUAACCUGAUAUGCUCACACAUUCUCCUGAAGCAGGUUUAUAAGAUGUCGGUACAUUCUGUCACUUCUUGAAGCUCAACAAAAUUACAAAAAUAAGUUUUUAUUCUCGGUCUGAGGUCACAGGGGAAUGUGUCAUAAUUUAGUCCAACUAUACUAAAUAUAACAUUUUUAGCUUUGAAUUAAGGUUUCAGACUUUUCUCAUAAAUUAUCCUGCUGUUGUCUUUUUUUUUCCUACAUCAUAUUGAAGAUCUAUGUCAAAAAUAUACUCUGUGCAUGUUCCUGCUGUGGGAUUAUGUUGGCAGGUAAAUAUAAUUAAGAAAGAGGAUUUUAUUAAAAGUGAAACAUUGUAUUUGAUGUUGCAAUAACACACAGAGGUUAAACACUUAAAACUUUGCUCAGAAAAUCCUUAGCCAGGGUAAGACAUAGAAAAAUUAUUUUUGCUUCAAUGUCAAUCGGAGUCUGGAACAGCAAAUCUAUACUUUCACAAAAAAGAAAAACGUCAUCAACUCUUUCAGAAUUUCCAGGUUAGUUGUUUGCUUUAUGCAAUAACCUCUAUGAAGGGAACAAGAUUGUGUAGAUUGAAGUUCAAAUCUCACCACCAUUCGGCAGUAGGUGUCUCACAGUUUUAGUGUAUAAUUCGAAGUAUAACAAUGUUGAUUAAGACCUCUAGAUAUUUUUUGAUCCAAUACAGUGACUUGUAAAUAUGUUGUUUUGCUGUUGUGUUACUGCAGAGUUUAAAAAGUUAUUUAAUAGUGUUUCUUCUUCUGUUUUGACAAGAUAUUUUUUAAACUGAUUUUCCAGUAAAUUGUUUUGUGGUGUUGUUUUGAACAGGAAAAGCACAAAACUGCUUUUGUGGAGAAAGAUGGUAACUUUUCAUGAUAUUUAUUAUAAUAAUGCUUUGACCCACACCGAUGUGUGUUUAGAUUGCAGCUUUUUCCACUUUGUAAUUUUCACCUGUAAAGUACAAUUAAAGAAGUUGUAUGAAACCACAAGUCAUUUAGCUUAAUUUUGAUUUGAUAAAUAUUUUUCAAA